rnacentral:rRNA from 1 species
AGCGAACGCUGGCGGCAGGCUUAACACAUGCAAGUCGAGCGGGCACUUCGGUGUCAGCGGCGGACGGGUGAGUAACGCGUGGGAACGUGCCUUCUGGUUCGGAAUAACUCAGGGAAACUUGAGCUAAUACCGGAUACGCCCUUUUGGGGAAAGGUUUACUGCCGGAAGAUCGGCCCGCGUCUGAUUAGCUAGUUGGUGGGGUAAUGGCCUACCAAGGCGACGAUCAGUAGCUGGUCUGAGAGGAUGAUCAGCCACACUGGGACUGAGACACGGCCCAGACUCCUACGGGAGGCAGCAGUGGGGAAUAUUGGACAAUGGGCGCAAGCCUGAUCCAGCCAUGCCGCGUGAGUGAUGAAGGCCUUAGGGUUGUAAAGCUCUUUUAUCCGGGACGAUAAUGACGGUACCGGAGGAAUAAGCCCCGGCUAACUUCGUGCCAGCCGCCGCCGUAACAC